UACGUAGGGUGCAAGCGUUGUCCGGAAUUAUUGGGCGUAAAGCGCGCGCAGGUGGUUCUUUAAGUCUGAUGUGAAAGCCCCCGGCUCAACCGGGGAGGGUCAUUGGAAACUGGGGAACUUGAGUAUAGAAGAGGAAAGUGGAAUUCCACGUGUAGCGGUGAAAUGCGUAGAGAUGUGGAGGAACACCAGUGGCGAAGGCGACUUUCUGGUCUAUAACUGACACUGAGGCGCGAAAGCGUGGGGAGCAAACAG
rnacentral:rRNA from 1 species